CUGGGAGUGUGCCAGGAAAACCUGAAGGAGGACUGGACUAACCUGCCUGCUAGAGGACUGCAUCUAGGCCUGCAGAUAAGACUAUUUAAUUCCUUGGUUUUGCUUUGUUUAUGCACUUCCUCUGCUGCUGCUGCCUGGAUCCUGCACACUGCUGCCCAGGAGAAGUGAGAGCAUAGGCAGGAGGUACCAAACCCAUAAGUGAUACAAGACAUACCCUGAUAAUGUGGAUGGGUGCCAUAUAAAUACCUAAGACACACAGGUAGCAUAUAAUUACGCAAUCAAUCCAAGGAAGAGGGGAUGCAGCUUGCCAGAAGGAAAGAACUGAUAGUGA